GAUGAACGCUGGCGGCGUGCCUAAUACAUGCAAGUCGAGCGAACGGACGAGAAGCUUGCUUCUCUGAUGUUAGCGGCGGACGGGUGAGUAACACGUGGAUAACCUACCUAUAAGACUGGGAUAACUUCGGGAAACCGGAGCUAAUACCGGAUAAUAUUUUGAACCGCAUGGUUCAAAAGUGAAAGACGGUCUUGCUGUCACUUAUAGAUGGAUCCGCGCUGCAUUAGCUUGUUGGUAAGGUAACGGCUUACCAAGGCAACGAUGCAUAGCCGACCUGAGAGGGUGAUCGGCCACACUGGAACUGAGACACGGUCCAGACUCCUACGGGAGGCAGCAGUAGGGAAUCUUCCGCAAUGGGCGAAAGCCUGACGGAGCAACGCCGCGUGAGUGAUGAAGGUCUUCGGAUCGUAAAACUCUGUUAUUAGGGAAGAACAUAUGUGUAAGUAACUGUGCACAUCUUGACGGUACCUAAUCAGAAAGCCACGGCUAACUACGUGCCAGCAGCCGCGGUAAUACGUAGGUGGCAAGCGUUAUCCGGAAUUAUUGGGCGUAAAGCGCGCGUAGGCGGUUUUUUAGUCUGAUGUGAAAGCCCACGGCUCAACCGUGGAGGGUCAUUGGAAACUGGAAAACUUGAGUGCAGAAGAGGAAAGUGGAAUUCCAUGUGUAGCGGUGAAAUGCGCAGAGAUAUGGAGGAACACCAGUGGCGAAGGCGACUUUCUGGUCUGUAACUGACGCUGAUGUGCGAAAGCGUGGGGAUCAAACAGGAUUAGAUACCCUGGUAGUCCACGCCGUAAACGAUGAGUGCUAAGUGUUAGGGGGUUUCCGCCCCUUAGUGCUGCAGCUAACGCAUUAAGCACUCCGCCUGGGGAGUACGACCGCAAGGUUGAAACUCAAAGGAAUUGACGGGGACCCGCACAAGCGGUGGAGCAUGUGGUUUAAUUCGAAGCAACGCGAAGAACCUUACCAAAUCUUGACAUCCUUUGACAACUCUAGAGAUAGAGCUUUCCCCUUCGGGGGACAAAGUGACAGGUGGUGCAUGGUUGUCGUCAGCUCGUGUCGUGAGAUGUUGGGUUAAGUCCCGCAACGAGCGCAACCCUUAAGCUUAGUUGCCAUCAUUAAGUUGGGCACUCUAAGUUGACUGCCGGUGACAAACCGGAGGAAGGUGGGGAUGACGUCAAAUCAUCAUGCCCCUUAUGAUUUGGGCUACACACGUGCUACAAUGGACAAUACAAAGGGCAGCGAAACCGUGAGGUCAAGCAAAUCCCAUAAAGUUGUUCUCAGUUCGGAUUGUAGUCUGCAACUCGACUACAUGAAGCUGGAAUCGCUAGUAAUCGUAGAUCAGCAUGCUACGGUGAAUACGUUCCCGGGUCU
rnacentral:rRNA from 1 species